rnacentral:rRNA from 1 species
AGAGUUUGAUCAUGGCUCAGAGCGAACGCUGGCGGCGUGCUUAACACAUGCAAGUCGAACGCGCAGCAUUCUGUAGCAAUACAGGGCGUGGGCGCGUGGCGAACGGGUGCGUAACACGUGGAUAACCUUCCUUCAGGUGGGGAAUAACCCAGUGAAAAUUGGGCUAAUACCGCAUAACAUGACGAUGCCACAUGGUGUUGUCUUCAAAGCCGCAAGGCGCCAGAAGAGGGAUCCGCGGCCGAUUAGCUUGUUGGCGAGGUAAUGGCUCACCAAGGCAUUGAUCGGUAGCCGGACUGAGAGGUUGGCCGGCCACACUGGAACUGAGACACGGUCCAGACUCCUACGGGAGGCAGCAGUGGGGAAUCUUGCACAAUGGACGAAAGUCUGAUGCAGCAACGCCGCGUGGGGGAUGAAGCUUUUCGGAGUGUAAACCCCUUUCGACCCGGAAGAAUGCCCGCAAGGGCUUGACGGUACGGGUAUAAGAAGCCCCGGCUAACUACGUGCCAGCAGCCGCGGUAAUACGUAGGGGGCCAGCGUUGCUCGGAAUUACUGGGCGUAAAGGGUCCGUAGGCGGUGUGGCAAGUCGGGAGUGAAAUCUCUGGGCUUAACCCAGAGGCUGCUUCCGAAACUGCCAUGCUAGAGUGUGAGAGAGGCGAGUGGAAUUACGGGUGUAGCGGUGAAAUGCGUAGAUAUCCGUAGGAACAUCCGANGCGAAAGGCGGCUCGCUGGAUCACAACUGACGCUGAGGGACGAAAGCUAGGGGAGCAAACAGGAUUAGAUACCCUGGNAGUCCUAGCCNUAAACCAUCAGGACUUGGGGUGUGCCCUGUACGGGGCACGUCCCGUAGCUACGCGUUNAGUCCUG